rnacentral:rRNA from 1 species
UACGGAGGGUGCUAGCGUUGUUCGGAAUCACUGGGCGUAAAGGGCGUGUAGGCGGUCUGUUAAGUCUGGUGUGAAAUCCCCCCGCUCAACGGGGGAACGGCGCCGGAUACUGGCAGACUCGAGUACCGGAGAGGAAGGUGGAAUUCCCGGUGCAGCGGUGAAAUGCGUAGAUAUCAGAAGGAACGCCGGUGGCGAAAGCGGCUCACUGGUCCGGUACUGACGCUGAGGUGCGAAAGCGUGGGGAGCAAACAGG